GACGAACGCUGGCGGCGUGCUUAACACAUGCGAGUCGAACGGAAAGGCCCUGCUUUUGUGGGGUGCUCGAGGGGCGAACGGGUGAGUAACACGUGAGUAACCUGCCCUUGACUUUGGGAUAACUUCAGGAAACUGGGGCUAAUACCGGAUAGGAGCUCCUGCUGCAUGGUGGGGGUUGGAAAGUUUCGGCGGUUGGGGAUGGACUCGCGGCUUAUCAGCUUGUUGGUGUGGUAGUGGCUUACCAAGGCUUUGACGGGUAGCCGGCCUGAGAGGGUGACCGGCCACGUUGCGACUGGGCUACGGCCCAGACUCCUACGGGACGCAGCAGUGGGGAAUAGUGCACAAUGGGCGGAAGCCUGAUGCAGCAACGCCGCGUGCGGGAUGUCGGCCUUCGGUUUGUAAUCCGCUUUCGCCUGUGACGAAGCGUUAGUGACGGUACUGGGUAAAGAAGCACCGGCUAACUACGUG
rnacentral:rRNA from 1 species